GAUCCCAGGUCUGCUAGUGCUAGUUAAUGCUCUGUUAGUACAUUUUUAUAAGCUGCGGUUUCAAUUGGUUAAUGCUCUAUUGCUCUAUUAUUUCAAAUUUUCAAUUCUAUUCACUUAUUCAUGUUACUACAUUGAGUGCAUUAUGCUAGUUCAAUUGAAUCAAUUCUAUUCUUGGUAAUGAUUUAAUGCAUUCUGCCAUUAUGAAAUGCAUUUUGUUAAUGACUCGAUGCAAUAAUGUUUAGGCAAUGGUACUGUUGAUAAUCAUAUUAGUGGCAGCGCAUAUGGAAGCAUUUGCAGUAGCAAUGAUGGAAAGGCCAGUUUGGUUGUAGCAGGUGAGAUGGCCACAGCUUCUGAGAGUUUGAAUGACAGUGGUCGCUAUGUUCGUGAGGGAUCUGGAGUGGAUUCUCUUCGUUCCAGCCAAAGGGAAGCAGCUCUGACCAAGUUCCGACUGAAGAUAGAUGCUUUGAGAAGAAUAAGAAGAUGGCUGAAAUGAAGACAUCAAGGAAACAAGGAGCCAAAGCCACUGCUGCCACAAUUGCUAAGUCUGCCAAAGCUGCUGCCACAUCUACCUCAACAAGCACAAGGCCUCCAGCCUCAACCAAAGCACCAAAGGGCCAAGCUCCAAUAACUUCCAGAUCAUCUUAGAGGAUUAGGAACAAUUUCAAACAAGGGGGAAAAUAGGAAAGAGGAACUAGAAUGUCACAUUAGCAAGCCCUACCAUUUUUUGUCGAUGUUUUGUGUAACUCGGUUGGUAGCUUUAAUGCCUUUUUUAUAAAGGCAUUUUGUAUGAAUGUUGUUUAAUUUAAGGCCCUUAAAUUUAAGUUCAGUUGUGUUCCCAA